GGAGGGUUUAUUUGAGGGGGGGGAGUAGUGGAAACGGAAGGUAUAAAAGCGCGCGCACCAGAUGGAGCGAGGUGGGGGGGCGGGAGAGAGGUUGCGCGCGCACAAAACUGAGGGGUGCUUCUGUUGAGGCGGCUCGCCACCAAAAAGUGGGGGGGGGGGAGGGAGAACCCGAACGAGACCAACGGCCAUCUGGGUCAGUGUGAAGGGAUGGUGCGCGCGCGCGCCUCCUCCUCUCGGUCCACCUCCCCACAUAAAGAGGAAGGCGGGAUGCGCGCGCUAAGAAAUAUUUCUUUCUUAAAAGGAUUUUUUUCUUUGGCCAUACGCACAACAACCCAUCCUCUUACCAAGGGGUGCGCAGGUUUCAUAAACAAAACGGCAUCACACCGAAAAUGUAAUGCGUUUAAGGAACCAUAAUACACAAAGGGUACACACAGUACCACCCCCAUUUGGAUCAAAGCUGGCUGGAGAUAGCGGAUAGAGCAUAUGAUAAGGAGGAGUAUAUGGUCGCCUGUACGCCUUUUCCCAAACCAGCAGGAGCAAGCACUGGUCAAUGGGAGCAUGUCCGCACAACCUUAGAGCAUCGCUGCUGGAACAGGCCAAGGAGCCCAUCUGGUCCAGCAUUCAGUUGCCAAGGGCUGGCAACCGGAUGCCUCCAAGGGAGCAGCACACCUUCCCCAUUGUUUGUGCCUGGCACCUGGCGCUCGCAGGAAUAGCAGCUGUAGAAGGAGAAGACGACAGAGGGCGAAGGAAGAGCUGUGUGUGGAGUGGGGGCUUUCCCCCAUCCUCUGGACCACCCGGGGGGGGGACUCAACAAACCUGCUGCACUUGGAACUGGGUGCAGAGAGUGUUGCUGAAUUUGGACACAGCUGUGGUCAGGAAGUACCAUCCGCCUUGGGCCUGCCCAUAUAAAGCAAGUCUAGCAUGAGAGACUAGGGUAAUGUCCGUUGUUUCCAGGAACGCUUCUCUGUAUGAGACUUUUGUGGAUCAACUCCUACCCCCAAACACGUUGGAAGAGGGCCACAGCUGCCAGAGAUUGAGAUAAAGGAUGCUUCAUCCCUAAAGUGUUUGUGACUGGCAGGGAUUAUGACUACUUACGCAUCAAUGAAGAAUACACAGAUUUGCAUAAA